rnacentral:rRNA from 1 species
GACGAACGCUGGCGGCGUGCCUAAUACAUGCAAGUAGAACGCUGAAGCGAGGAGCUUGCUCUUCUUGGAUGAGUUGCGAACGGGUGAGUAACGCGUAGGUAACCUGCCUGGUAGCGGGGGAUAACUAUUGGAAACGAUAGCUAAUACCGCAUAAAAUGGAUUAUCGCAUGAUAAUCCAUUGAAAGGUGCAAAUGCAUCACUACCAGAUGGACCUGCGUUGUAUUAGCUAGUUGGUGGGGUAACGGCUCACCAAGGCGACGAUACAUAGCCGACCUGAGAGGGUGAUCGGCCACACUGGGACUGAGACACGGCCCAGACUCCUACGGGAGGCAGCAGUAGGGAAUCUUCGGCAAUGGACGGAAGUCUGACCGAGCAACGCCGCGUGAGUGAAGAAGGGUUUCGGAUCGUAAAGCUCUGUUGUAAGAGAAGAACGAGUGUGAGAGUGGAAAGUUCACACUGUGACGGUAGCUUACCAGAAAGGGACGGCUAACUACGUG